AAUUACUUAUUUAACUCUAAAAAUUUCAAAAAUAUCUAAUUUAUUUUUAUUUUUUUUCUUUCUAAUAUACUCUACAUUUAUUCAAAAAUAUUCUUCUGUUAUUCAAAAAUACCUCCGCAGUUACCAUCUGUUAAGUUAUCUCGAAUUAAACGUGAAUAAAAAAUAAAUUAAAAUAUAUAUUUUGUCCUUAACUUAAGGGCAAAUAAGAAAAGUUGGUGAUGAUAGGAGGGUAUAUUUGAAAAGACCAAAAAUCAAAAUACUUUUUUUAUCCCUAAUUUAAGGGUAAAUAAGAAAAGGCUGGUGAUGGUAGAAUGGUAUAUUAGAAAGGGUAAAAUAGUAAUUUCACAGGGAUAACGACUAUUGCUAAUCGUUCACUAAUAGAAUUUAAUUUUAUGGGUAUAUUUAAAAUAAUUUAGAACGUAAAAAGGAUAUUUUUAAUAUUAGUUUUCUAGGAGAGAAAAAUCAUAAAGUCGAAAAUUUUUCAGAGAUAUAUAAGUAAUUGCCCGAGAGUUUGUCCCUGCC
rnacentral:lncRNA from 1 species